rfam:TPA: Bos taurus chromosome 6, whole genome shotgun sequence.
UCCCUGUUGGCUAAGGUGGUAAAGAAUCUGCCUCCAAUGCAGGAGACCCAGGUUCGAUCACUGGGUGGGGAA